rnacentral:rRNA from 1 species
GACGAACGCUGGCGGCGUGCUUAACACAUGCAAGUCGAACGGGGCUAUUUGAUUUCGAUUAAAUAGUCUAGUGGCGAACGGGUGAGUAACGCGUGAAUGACCUGACCUAAAGAGGGGGAUAACAACGAGAAAUCGUUGCUAAUACCGCAUAGGACCACACUGCCGCAUGGCAGAGAGGUGAAAGGAGAAAUCCGCUUAAGGAGGGGUUCGCGUCCCAUUAGGUAGUAGGCGGGGUAAAGGCCCACCUAGCCGACGAUGGGUAGCCGAGCUGAGAGGCUGAACGGCCACACUGGAACUGAGACACGGUCCAGACUCCUACGGGAGGCAGCAGUGGGGAAUAUUGGGCAAUGGGCGAAAGCCUGACCCAGCAACGCCGCGUGAGGGAAGAAGGUCUUCGGAUUGUAAACCUCUGUCCUUGGAGACGAAGGAAGUGACGGUAACCAAGGAGGAAGCCCCGGCUAACUACGUG